CUGGGGAGUGUACUGGCACAAUUUAAAAUCAAAAGAAUAUUCGGGGGGGCCCGCACGCGGUGAGAACAUGUUGUAUUUUGAGAUACAACGCGAAACCCUUUCCGUGUUUUUCACAUCCACAGAAUUUCCCAGAAAGGGAUUUGUGCCUUCGGGGACUGUGACACAGGUGCUGCAUGGCUGUCGUCAGCUCGUGUUGUGAAAUGUUGGGUUAAGUCCCGCAACGAGCGCAACCCUUACCUUUUGUUUCCAUCGGUUAGGUCGGGAAUUUAAAGGAGCCUCCCGGUAUAAACCCGGGGAAAGGGGGGGAGGAGUCCAAUUCUCCAUGGCCUUUCGGGCCAGGGUUCCCACCUGCUUCAAAGGGAGCUUCAAAGGGCAACAAUCCUGCGAGGAUCAAGCAAUCUCCAAAAACCUUUCAGAUUCGAGAUUCUCUGCAAAACGAGAGCAACAAAGCUGGAACGCUAUUAGUAUCGGAUGUCAGCAAUUCGGGGGGAAAUAUGUUCAGGGGGCUUGCACACCCCCCCCCGCCACCCCGGGGGAGGGGUUUGCAAAAGAAUUAGCUAGAUUAACCCAGGGAGGCCGCGACCACGGUAGGAUUCAUGACUGGGGUGAAGUC
rnacentral:rRNA from 1 species